GACGAACGCUGGCGGCGUGCUUAACACAUGCAAGUCGAACGGAAAGGCCCCUUUGGGGGUACUCGAGCGGCGAACGGGGGAGGAACACGUGCGUAACCUGACCUUGACUUCGGGACAAGGACAGGAAACUGGGGCUAAUACCGGAUAGGGAUCCUUGCUGCAUGGGGGGGGUUGGAAAGCGACGGCGGGUUUUGAUGGACCUGCAGCAUAGCAGCGCGCUGGUGGGGUAGUGGGUUACCAAGGCGGUGGCGGGUAGCCAGCCUGAGGGGCCGACCGGCCACCUUGGGUCUGAGAUACGGCCCCGGCUCCUACUGUAGGCCGCAGUGGGGAAUCUUGCACGAUGGGCGGAACCCUGAUGCAGCAACGCCGCGUGCCGGAUGACGGCCUUCUGGUUGUAAACCGCUUUCAGCAGGGGCGAAGCUUGUGGUGACGGUACCUGCAGAAGAAGCACCGGCUAACUACGUG
rnacentral:rRNA from 1 species